UUCAUAUUCUAAUCACUCACAGAUGCAGGAAGUUAUUUCAACAGGAGAUAUUUUUUACAAAUUCUUCUAAAGUUUCCAAGGAGCUUGUGUUUGAGAAUGCCAUUCAGGAAAUAGACUAAAAGAAAGUCAGCUUUUGGAGUGAGCAGAAUUAGACUGAAAUCUCAGUCAUGCUGCUCAAAGCAGCCUGCCCAGAGAUCGCUGGAGUCUUUUGAAAUCCAUCUUGGUAUGCAGUGCAAGACGGUCUGCAGCAGCAAAGGCCAUACAAGGGACAGUUCAGCCAGAGGCAAGAAACAGCUCACCAAAAUGUCAAAUGGAAGCCUGGGUCAUUGAAAUUUAUUUGCAUUUUGAUGACUACACAACUUGGGUUCCUGCGAUGUGACGUCCAUCAUCAGUAUUCAUAGUGUCAAAGCAUGUAUUCUGUGGUCAUCAUUUUCAAAAGUGACUUUUCAAUAAAAGAAGGGAGCACAUUGCCUCUCUAAUUCAACUUGCUUCUUAGAAGUGAAAAAGAUGACAUGCAACUUCUAAUAUUCUUGUUCCGUAUA